rnacentral:rRNA from 1 species
AACCUCGCUGUGUGUUAUAUGUGUCACACGGGACUGCCGGGUCUUAAGCCGGAGGAAGGUGGGGGAUGAUGUCAAGUCAGCAUGGCCUUUAUAUCCUGGGCUACACACACGCUACAAUGGCCAACACAAUAGGUUGCUAAGCCGCGAGGUGGCGCCAAUCCAUAAAGUUGGUCUCAGUUCAGAUUGUAGGCUGCAACCCGCCUGCAUGAAGAUGGAGUUGCUAGUAACCGCAGGUCAGCUAUACUGCGGUGAAUACGUUCCCGGGGCCUU